rnacentral:rRNA from 1 species
AGCAGCAGCCGCGGUAAUACGUAGGUCCCGAGCGUUGUCCGGAUUUAUUGGGCGUAAGGCGAGCGCAGGCGGUUAGAUAAGUCUGAAGUUAAAGGCUGUGGCUUAACCAUAGUACGCUUUGGAAACUGUUUAACUUGAGUGCAAGAGGGGAGAGUGGAAUUCCAUGUGUAGCGGUGAAAUGCGUAGAUAUAUGGAGGAACACCGGUGGCGAAAGCGGCUCUCUGGCUUGUAACUGACGCUGAGGCUCGAAAGCGUGGGGAGCAAACAGAAUUAGAUACCCCGGUAGUCCCUGUCUCUUAUACA